AGGAUGAACGCUGGCGGCGUGCUUAACACAUGCAAGUCGAACGAUGAAGCCGGAGCUUGCUCUGGUGGAUUAGUGGCGAACGGGUGAGUAACACGUGAGUAACCUGCCCUUGACUCUGGGAUAAGCACUGGAAACGGUGUCUAAUACCGGAUACGAGCUUUAGCCGCAUGGCCAGGAGCUGGAAAGAAUUUCGGUCAAGGAUGGACUCGCGGCCUAUCAGGUAGUUGGUGAGGUAACGGCCACCAAGCCUACGACGGGUAGCCGGCCUGAGAGGGUGACCGGCCACACUGGGACUGAGACACGGCCCAGACUCCUACGGAGCAGCAGUGGGAAUAGUUGCACAAUGGGCGCAAGCCUGAUGCAGCAACGCCGACGUGAGGACGAGGCCUUCGGUAGUAACCUCUUUAGUAGGAAGAAGCGAAAGUGACGUACGUGACAGAAAAAGCAACCGGCUAACUACGUGACCGAGCCAAGCCGACGGUAA
rnacentral:rRNA from 1 species